UCUAUCUUUUUCACUAGCUUUGUAUUUUUAUAAAUUAGCCAUGUUUCCCUGAGUACAUUGGCAGCUGCAUUUUUCACCUGUUAAGAAAACAAACACACACAGCAGCUGAUAAAUUCCAGAGCAGAAGCCUUUGCAACUUGCCUGGGGAUCAUACUCUUCAUCCCAAUGAUCAUGACUGCUUUUUAGUGGUGACUUCUUCUGGAUAGUCAUUAGACUCUGGAUGGAGAACAUUCUCAAACCAACAGAAAAUGUCUGCAACGUGGGACGCUGAGCAACUUCCUUGCAUGUUCUCCAUAGGAUUGAAAGGGAACAGAGAUAGGAAGCAGGGUGGAAACACCUCAGUGUUUGACAGGUUUGAAGGAUGAAGAUUGGGAGGCAAAAGGGAUAGUCAAACUUACAGGAAAAUGUGGAGAAGAGAGGUAGGUCUAUGCAUUUCUGAUCAUGUGAUGAAAGUUUACUCAGUUAAGAACUCUGCCCUAUAGUCAUGUAAUGCUGUAACCCUGGAGGCCUCUGCUCCCCUCUCCAGGGCAUUUACAAACUCUGAGAGGUCAUGCCACUAAAUCACUGUGUCUCCCUAGAUCAAUGCUUUGGGCAUAAGCUGGUACUAAAUAACUGUCUAUGAUGUUAAAUUUGGCACCACGGUACAUAUAAUUUGCAUCAUAAAUCCUUUUAAUCAUGAACCCUAGAUGCAUAUUUAUCAACCAAAGGACCCUCCUGAUAAGAAGGUUAAAGACAUUUCAAAGAUGAGACCAAGGGUCUAAAUGGGUCAGUGCAUUUCCACUUACUGAGUCGCUACCACCUGCUAGACAUCAUGAGA